GAUUAGAAGUGCUUGAGAUACAUCAUAACAGUGUCAGUGCAGUGUUUAUGGGGGAAAUUGUCGCUGUCUCUCGCUUGUGGAAGGUGACAUAAUGGGAUUUCUUCCCUUUGUCCUGGUGACAGGAUGAUGAGCACUGUCUGGGCUCCAGUUCGGCGGGCUUUGCCAUUCAGGCAUCCGGCGCAGCUGACAAGCCCGAGGAUCGAUGGAGAAGAGUUUGAUUACUCAGUCAAAACCUAAGUAUCCUGUUGGGAGAAGAACACUCAUUUUAGUGGCACUGUUCUAUUCUUUGGAUGAAUUGAAUAGUUACUAAUCCAGCCACAGAAGAAAGACACAGGAGAGGCUGAAACAUCACCUCUUGAGGGUCUCCUUUCUGGUGAUUUAUUCAGAUAUUGGCACAUGUGACUCAAUAAUGGCCAAUACUAUGUGAAGGGACAUCUUCUGGGGAGUCUUCCUCCUUUUCUUCCGGAUUCUUUGUGUCUGAAUGUGAUGCCUGGAGAUGCAACAGCAGUCUCACUACCAGCACGAGGAUGAAGCUGAUACCCAGGUAUGGCGAGAGAGAGAGAAAGAUAGAAAGAACCCAGGUUCUUGAUGACGUUGUUGAGCCACCCAAUCAGUCAACCCCUAAGCUUCCCUGCUGCUCUACUUUCUGUUAUACAGGAUAGGACGUUUCCUUAAAUGUUUAAACCACUUUGAAUCAGGGUUUCUGUUGCCUCAUGGCCCAAAGCAUCUGAAGCGAUGGAGAGAAUUUUAAGUCCAAUUUCUCAUUUCACAGAAGAUGUAACAGAGUGUGCUCAAUGUUAUGUUGCAGGUGACAGCAGAACACAGGAAUAGAGAGGCUGAAUCUUCUGCUUUAGAGCCAUUUUUAGUCAGAUGCUGCCCCUCUUACAAUUUACUUAAUUAUAAAUUAAAGAUGGUUUAAGAGUGUAUCUCUCAAGUCACUGUCCUUGUAUUUGACAAAAUUUCCUGGCCAGGGUUAAAGUCUGGAAUUCUAAUCCAAAUUUUCCUCAUUUGGACAUGCUGAAUCAAACUGGCCACUACAGAGACAAAGAGUAUGCUUGUUGACUUUGAAAAACUAAAAACGCUUUGUUCCUAAUGACUAGGGAGCAGUGACCUGGGAGACUUGAUCUGUUUGGUAACUGUGGGCGAGAAAGACGAAAUAUAUCUCUUUGGGUCAAGACUUAGCAUUUGUAAAGUAAGGAAGACCACAGGAUGUUAUUCAAAGCCUUUGCCAAGGCUUUGGUUGGAAGAUUUAAUGGAAUCCACAGGCAGAGAAUAGGGUGAGGGUAGGAGGUGGGGAUACAGGUUAGGAAGGUUGGUUUAUCCUUUCUGUUCCCAGGGGCAUUUCUUCUAUCAGGUCAUUCCCUCAGCUGCAAGGCCUCCUGUUUGCCUCUAAUGCUACUUCCAAUCUGUCCAUGCUGCAGGGCCCAGGUUAUACUAUAUUGCCUCUAUCAAGUCUUCCCGGAUCACUUUAGCAUGCACCAGUAACUCAUUUUCAGAACUCACUCAUUUCCUGAACUCUUUACUCAUUCAUUAAACAUGUCAUGUUACAGAAUAUUUCUCUUCUGGUAUUUCACUCAUUUUGCUCCUAAAUUUUAUCUUGAGGAAGCAGAUCAGAAAAAAAGAAACGACAUAGACUUUAAGGGCACAUUGACUUCACUUGAAUCCUGCUCUAGGGCCCCUGCCUUGCAGAACUCCAGGGGCCAGUUAGAUAGCAUGCAGUCCUGACUGGUUCUACCACUCUGGAGCAACUGUCUAUGACCACCUCAAAUCCAUUGUGGAAUGCAAAUGGGGCAUACUGUAUUAGUUUCUAUUGCUGUUCCAACAAAUGACUACAAACUCAGUGGCUUAAAAUAACACAAAUGUAUAACUGCUAUAGUUUAAUAUCCCCUCCAAAACUUAGGUUGAAAUUUAGUUGCCAUUGUAACAAUGUUGAAACAUGGUCUUACAGGAGGUGAUUAGGUCAUGAGGGCUCUGCCCUCAUGAAUGGAUCAAGGCUGUUAAUCACAGGAGUGUGUUAGUUAUCAAAGGAGUGGGCUCCACAUAGAAGAAUGAAGUUCUGGUUCCCUUCCUCUCUCUCUCUCGCAUGCUCUCUUGUCAGGUAAUGCCUUCUGCAUGUUAUGACACAGCAAGAAGGCCCUCACCAGAUGCAGCCCCUU
ensembl:lncRNA C5orf64 chromosome 5 putative open reading frame 64